rnacentral:rRNA from 1 species
UACGGAGGGUGCGAGCGUUGUCCGGAAUCACUGGGCGUAAAGGGCGCGUAGGCGGCCUGAUAAGUAGGGGGUGAAAUCCUGCGGCUUAACCGCAGGGCUGCCUUCUAAACUGUCAGGCUUGAGCACAGUAGAGGCAGGUGGAAUUCCCGGUGUAGCGGUGGAAUGCGUAGAGAUCGGGAAGAACACCGGUGGCGAAGGCGGCCUGCUGGGCAGUGGCUGACACUGAGGCGCGACAGCGUGGGGAGCAAACAGG